UUUCGCGGUCAUUCCUCGUCUCUGGGUGGUCUUAACAACAAGUUUGUUCUCCUUCUACUAGAUGGAGAUAUCCAUGUAUACAAUCCAAUCCUAAACAAACGCUACAAUCGCUCACUUAUUCGUUGUCUGCUACUUGUACAAGAAUGCAUGGCAGGCUGUGAUAAGGGAAACAAAUUACCACAGUAUUUUACUCAGGACGUCAAAUAUGCAAGUGUGUUACGAUGCCGCUGUGUGACCACUUUACUAGGAGGUCAUUCGAUCGUCCAGGAAAAUUUUUAGUUUUCAUCACCUUAAUAUGCAGUUUGACGGUGUUUGUGAAUACAUUAAGAAAUCGCUAUGCAGAUUCCUCGCGACAAGAAAGAUAUCGAACCUACUUACACGAAAUGGACGCCUUACAUCCUCGUAUGGAUCAUGUAGAAGAACACUUGUACAGGGACCUUGAUGAAAUGGGGAGACUACACAGUUUAAUGGGAGCAAAAGA